rnacentral:rRNA from 1 species
AACGAACGCUGGCGGCGUGCCUAACACAUGCAAGUCGAGGGAGAAAAGGGGCUUCGGCUCCUGAGUAAACCGGCGCACGGGUGAGUAACACGUAGGUAACGUACCCUUGAGUCUGGGAUAACCAGUCGAAAGACUGGCUAAUACCAGAUACGACUGCGGAAGCUCCGGCUUCUGCAGUGAAAGAUGGCCUCUGCUUGCAAGCUAUCACUCGUGGAUCGGCCNGCGCACCAUUAGCUAGUUGGUGAGGUAAAGGCUCACCAAGGCUGAGAUGGUUAGCUGGUCUGAGAGGAUGGCCAGCCACACUGGGACUGAGACACGGCCCAGACUCCUACGGGAGGCAGCAGUGGGAAUAUUGCGCAAUGGGCGAAAGCCUGACGCAGCGACGCCGCGUGGGUGAUGAAGGCC